rnacentral:lncRNA from 1 species
UUUCAAAUCAAAAUCCUAUAAGUGAAAUCAAUAAGAAAAUCCUUCGAUGCUCCAUCAAGUUAGGACAUAAUCAGAAUAUAUAAAAAUUUUAAAUCAUUAUCUUUUUUAAAGUUUCUAUCAUCAAGAUCCUUAAUAUCUAUCAAGUAUCUUUUCAUAACAAUCAUACAAACCUAAAAAAAAAAUUAAAUCUUCAUUUAAUAGUAGAUUCAAUCAGGGACCU